rnacentral:misc_RNA from 1 species
GAUGAAGAACGUAGCGAAAUGCGAUAAGUAGUGUGAAUUGCAGAAUUCAGUGAAUCAUCGAAUCUUUGAACGCACAUUGCGCCCUUUGGUAUUCCAAAGGGCAUGCCUGUUCGAGCGUCAUUUGUACCCUCAAGCUUUGCUUGGUGUUGGGCGUCUUGUCUCUAGCUUUGCUGGAGACUCGCCUUAAAGUAAUUGGCAGCCGGCCUACUGGUUUCGGAGCGCAGCACAAGUCGCACUCUCUAUCAGCAAAGGUCUAGCAUCCAUUAAGCCUUUUUUUCAACUUUUGACCUCGGAUCAGGUAGGGAUACCCGCGGAACUUAAGCAUAUCAAUAAGCGGAGGA